rnacentral:rRNA from 1 species
GAUGAACGCUGGCGGCGUGCCUAAUACAUGCAAGUCGAGCGAAUAGACGAGGAGCUUGCUCCUUUGACGUUAGCGGCGGACGGGUGAGUAACACGUGGGUAACCUACCUAUAAGACUGGGAUAACUUCGGGAAACCGGAGCUAAUACCGGAUAAUAUUUCGAACCGCAUGGUUCGAUAGUGAAAGAUGGCUUUGCUAUCACUUAUAGAUGGACCUGCGCCGUAUUAGCUAGUUGGUAAGGUAACGGCUUACCAAGGCAACGAUACGUAGCCGACCUGAGAGGGUGAUCGGCCACACUGGAACUGAGACACGGUCCAGACUCCUACGGGAGGCAGCAGUAGGGAAUCUUCCGCAAUGGGCGAAAGCCUGACGGAGCAACGCCGCGUGAGUGAUGAAGGUCUUCGGAUCGUAAAACUCUGUUAUUAGGGAAGAACAAACGUGUAAGUAACUGUGCACGUCUUGACGGUACCUAAUCAGAAAGCCACGGCUAACUACGUG